rnacentral:tRNA from 1 species
GCCCUUUUAACUCAGUG